rnacentral:rRNA from 1 species
UACGUAGGGUGCAAGCGUUGUCCGGAAUUAUUGGGCGUAAAGAGCUCGUAGGCGGUUUGUCGCGUCUGCUGUGAAAUCUGGGGGCUCAACCCCCAGCCUGCAGUGGGGUACGGGCAGACUAGAGUGCGGUAGGGGAGAUUGGAAUUCCUGGUGUAGCGGUGGAAUGCGCAGAUAUCAGGAGGAACACCGAUGGCGAGGGCAGAUCUCUGGGCCGUAACUGACGCUGAGGAGCGAAAGCGUGGGGAGCGAACAGG